rnacentral:lncRNA from 1 species
GAUGUUGGCCCUAGUUCGUAGGGUAUCCUCACAUGGAGAGGACAUAGACGAGUUUUGAUUGUGAUGUUGGCCCUAGAUGGUAGGGUAUCCUCACGUGGAGAGGAUAGAUCAAGCUCACGGUCUGUUAUUUGGGGUGGUAUAGCCAUCUAUAUCCUCACAUGGAGAGGAUUGUCGUCGAGUACUCCGGAGUGUCGGGCGAUAGGGACCACAUGGAGGUCCACAGACAGUCCCGGGUUUGGGGGCACAUGGUGCUCCCCUACCCAAUUGGGAUGAAAAGGUGAGUUGAGGGCGAACCCAAGGAUCUCGCCAGAGAUUGGGUAAAUGGAAAACGAAUAUUGUCAUUGAACAUUAUUAUUCGAAUAUGGAUCGAACUUGUUAGCAUGAUAGUAAACCCUUACUAUAUGAUGCAUGCAUUCAUUACUCAUGAUUAUGGGCAUAGUAGCAUAGAUUUCCUAUUAUAUCAUUUACAGCUUUGAGAUAUCCAUCUAUAUAUCUAUCUUGUUGUUACUUGUGCCAACUUGGACCUAGUGGGGAGACCGGCGGAGUCGGCGGCCGAGCCCACUGGGAACUAUGGAAGAUAGUUCUCACCCCACUCUAUUUCCAGUGGUAGGUACAGGGUUGCCGAGAGAGGACCGUGGCAAGGGCAUCACGCCCAAUCAGUGAGACCGUUGUAGUAUAGUAGCUUUCCUUUUGCAUUAGCACACCUAUGUAUUGAGAGAGAUUCAUGUAGGUGAGGUUUGGAGAGCUAUGUAUGUUGAUGAGCAAAAUGUAUUCAUUUUGAGAAAAGAUGUAAAUGUAAAAGAAAGCAAACUAUUGUAAUAGUUAGUAAAGUACUCUCUUUAUUUCACUAGUAUAUUUAGUGGAUUACUUGCUCUUGUUGUUGUUGGCACUGUUUGUGCCCUGUUGAUUGUGUACUUAUAGAAUUUAAAUUCCUGGAUAAAUUCUUGUACUCAACCUGUUGUUAAGCCUUGGGCGGGCAGGGGAGGUGCUGUCCGUUCAGCGGUACGCCCGGCGCGCCCGAACCGAACUAAAUUGGUAGCGGUUUCGGGGCAGGGGCGUGACAAUAUAAAGGUUGGGAGAAACAUUGGGUUGGACAACCAAUCAAAAGACCAAACUACCCCUUACAUACUCAAAAAUAUAGCUGGGGUACUAAUACCCAAUUCCAAUACCGGUACCCGGCCCCUCAGCCCGCAGCCUCGCACA